rnacentral:rRNA from 1 species
AUACGUAGGUGACAAGCGUUAUCCGGAUUUACUGGGCGUAAAGGGCGUGUAGGCGGUCUUGCAAGUCAGAAGUGAAAUUCCUGAGCUCAACUCGGGCGCUGCUUCUGAAACUGCAGGACUUGAGUGCUGGAGGGGAUAGCGGAAUUCCUAGUGGAGCGGUAAAAUGCGCAGAUAUUAGGAAGAACACCGGUGGCGAAGGCGGCUAUCUGGAAAGUAACUGACGCUGAGGCGCGAAAGCGUGGGGAGCAAAAAGGAUUAGAUACCCUGGUAGUCCACGCCGUAAGCGAUGAAUACUAGGUGUAGGGGGUAUCGACUCCCUCUGUGCCGCAGUUAACACAAUAAGUAUUCCGCCUGGGGAGUACGGCCGCAAGGUUGAAACUCAAAUGAAUUGGCGGGG